UAUCAAAUGGCGGAAGAGCCCCU
rnacentral:piRNA from 1 species